GCCCCCAACUCCAUUUUCAGAACUCUCCCGCCCCCAACGACCACGAGCUUCCCCAACCCCGACCCCUAGCCCCCGACUCCAUUUUUUUUCUCCUUCUCCUUCUCCUUCUUCUCCAUCUCGCCCCCGUCUCCGCUGCCUUUCUCCUCCAUCUCCACCCUCGCCUCCGCCCCGAGCUGCCCUAGCUCUUCCUGUUUCUCUCCUUCUCCUCUGUCGCCCGACCUGCCCUAGCCCUUUCCAUUUUUCUUCUCCUCCAUCUCCGCGGGAGGGCGACCGCCGGACUCUUUUGUUUCGUCUACUGAAAAAUAUCACUCCUUUGCUUCUUGCUCUGCUGAACGGAGUCAUUGAGGGAGUUAUCUGCCCCCAUUGGUCUUUGCGAUUCAUUGGCCUCUUCAGUUGGAAGAAGGAUGAAGGAGAGAAAGGGAUCCUCUGCAACUGACGAGUACGAGCCCUGGAGUGUGGACUUGGGUCAUUCCAGUGACUGCCAGAGCAAGGCACCUCUCUCUCUCGCUAUCUCAUUUUUGCUUGCAACUCAAACAACUGGCAGGACAGAAAGUAGAAGCGCCACAAAGGGGGGAAGAAGACGAAGUAUGGAAGCAUUGAGGGCCUCGUAUGGGUCAUUGUCAGAGGAUUCAGAUGACGAUUCUUCUCUGGAAAGAAGCAAGAAGCGGGCAGCAGUCAGCCCUCCCUCGCUGGAACCGCAACUCUUGACCUCUUGGAUCCGCCAGGUCAAAAUUCUCGUUUAACUGAUGCAUGUUUAUCUACCCUUCAUCAUCAGCAUCACCGUUGUCUUAUUUGAAUGAAAAACAAAUAUAUACUGUAAUUUCUUCUGUUGGUUAUUCUUAGUUAAUUUUUUUUUGUUGGUCCGCGAAUGGGUUGAAUUGUUUGGGAACUGUUCGAGAUGUGACUAAUCUCAAAGUUAUGGAAAUAGAGCUGUAAUCCUGCAGAAAAGAACUGGAUGUUUGUGUUAGUUGAACUAGUGCAAGUCAAUAAAAGUGACAGAGCUCCCGGUUGAGUGUUUGGGGUAUUGAUCUGGUUGAGGUCGUUGAGGUUCAAAGAGGCGGCAACACAUUUUUCUGGCUGAUAAUUUUGUGAGGCUAACAGGAGCUGAACUUGGGGUGAUGUCAAUGGAAAUCCUCGAUCAAACAAUACAGUUUUUUAGUGCUUUAAGGUUCAGUGCAAAAUCAGCUUGGUAAUCAAGAGACAAAUUUAGUCCUCAGUUCAUGAUUUUCUUUUGCAGUUGAAUGGUUGCCUAGAAAAUUUCACAUGCUUUUUUUUUUCAUUAGAGGAAAUACAUUCUGAAGAUACUUUUUAGGCCACUAGGGAUUCUGUGGUUUUGCCAUACUGUAUUUGCGAUUAAUGCCUUGAUUUAGUUUAUUAUAAUACACGUUUAAGAAGAACUUGAUGAAGUUUAAGUAGUUUAAAAAGCCUUCCUUGCACGUGUUUUGGCCCGUGUAUGGCUUCCUUAAGUAAUCGCAUGAUUCGUCAAGUAGGUGGUUAGAUCUGUUUUCUUAAUGAUCUAAGUUCUGUCUACUGCUUUAUAAGUCUCAUUUUGUGGUUGUUUUAAAUUAUUAUUUCUUUAGAAGUACAAUAUUUCUCUUGCAUUUUGUUGACAGAAUCACUGGGGUAAAUAUUCAGCUUUAAAUGUUACUAUAUAUUACCAACUAUUGCCAAGGAAAUGAAUUGGACAAUUUAGUCUCUGAAACAGUGAAUCCAUGUAGUUAAUAGUAAUAAUUGUCCUCUCCUCUCCCUAUGUUAGAUAAUCAGAAAUAGGUUAAAGGAUUACUCUCGAUUAUCCCAUGCCUAGAGAUCAUAAGGAUUUUAUAGUUGCAAGUGUUGUUCAUUGUCAAGACAUGAAAUGGCCCUUUGAAGAUGAAUGAAAGCCAUGUCAGGGAUGGUAGGCAGCAGUUCACUGAUUAGUCAACCUUAGCUGCUGUUCAACCACUCUUGGGGCUUUGCGAGAUGUUGGUAGCAUCCCCAAAUGCUUCUGUUUCAUUGCAAUUACCUUAAGGACGAACAUGGAUGCUCUAACAGGCAUCAAGCCCAAGUCUAAAAAGGCUGAUUUGAGGGACAGAAUCACUGGCCGAUAAAUGGGUAUGUCUGGGCAUUUGUAUUAUUCAAGUUAUAUCAGGUCAUGUAUAAAUGUAAAUUGCCUUGUAGAUCACCUUUUGUUCCUAUUACUAGUAAGGGUAUGUCUGAUGCCUAAUCUAAUUGACACGUCCUCUUCCCCCUUGCACUCUCUCUUGGAGACAAUAUAAGAAAUUGUAGAACAAGAAAAGUGUUUUGCUGAACUCUCAUCAUAACCUCCAAGUUUCUCAUCUAAAUUGCACCAAAGCACCUUCUUAGAUACCUCAACAGAAUCAAGGUGAGUCUAAUUCAGUAGCACCUUCGUUAUUUAAUUUGGGUAUAGGCUUGCACUGCUGUGAGUCUAAUUCAGUAGAAACUCUUCCAUUCAUUGUAGGUUCAGAACGUCUAACAUUUGGGAGACUAUCCAAGGAAAUCAUAGAACCAGAGAAGUGCUUCACUGAACUCUCAUUAUAAUUUCCAAGUUUCUCAUCUAAAUUGUACUGAAGCACCUUCUUGGAUGCCUCAACAGAAUCAAAGUGACAAUUUGCUGGCAGAACUGCACUGUUUACAACAACUGAUUCCUCCCUAUUAUUAACUAUCGAUAGAGGCUUGCACCAUCUUAUGGAUUGGAAAUUUCAUGGCAUAUCAUUUCUGUAGAAAGGACAUGAGACCUCUGAAGUUGCAUCCCGAGCUCGAAAAGUUGCUCAAAGAAGAGUUUCGCUUCCUGGACGACUUCAGAGCCAAGUCAAAAGCAAUGAAAGAUUGUAGUUAUAGUGCUAUUGGUGCUUCCAAGGAUGAGAUAGACAGCAGCGAGUCUUCAGCUUUAGCUGAAGCUGCUGUUGCUACCAGUUCAUUGAAGUUGGGAUAGUGAUGGAAGUUGAGAAGGGUGGUGGGGGGUUAUCCAAUUCUUUACUAUAGGUCCUUUGAUGAUAAAGGAUGAUUUGAGUUGAAUGGGUGGCUCUGAAUUUUUUUUUGCUUUGGAGUUGUUGAUUCACCUCGCUUCAUUGUACAUAAGAAAAAUGAUGGAAUGAAUUAACAAAAUUGAUUAAUAACAGAUUAGAAUUAAAUCUGUUUCAUUUUUUAA